CAAACAUGCCACAAGAAGAAGAAGAUCAUUAAAAAUGUCAACAAAGUGUAAUUUGGACGGCAACGAAAGUUUUGCGUGCGAUUUAAACAAUCGAAAGGUAAUACCCGGAAUUAUGCAUCCCCUGCCUAGCCCGGUUGUCCGCAAUUCGGUGCAAUUGCCCCGGUCAUCUUUCAUACAGAAUCCGGAUGUUUCAGCAUCACAUUUGGAGAAAAAAAACCGCCUCUAUCGUCGGAUUGGAUUGGUAAGCUUUGACGUAAUGUGUGUACCGGAGGAUCGUUUUUUUUAUCGAACAAAAUACCCGGAAAAUGAUCCUAAGGCCGUUGGAGCUGAUGCGUGGCUGUGUCAAUUAGUGAGUCUUAUUAAUUGGAUAAUAAAAAAAAGUGAAUCACA